UAUUAGACAAUGGGCGAAAGCCUGAUCCAGCAAUGCCGCGUGAGUGAUGAAGGCCUUCGGGUCGUAAAGCUCUCUUACCAGGGAUGAUAAUGACAGUACCUGGAGAAUAAGCUCCGGCUAACUCCGUGCCAGCAGCCGCGGUAAUACGGAGGGAGCUAGCGUUGUUCGGAAUUACUGGGCGUAAAGAGUACGUAGGCGGUUAUUCAAGUCAGAGGUGAAAGCCCGGGGCUCAACCCCGGAACUGCCUUUGAAACUAGAUAACUAGAGUCUUGGAGAGGUUAGUGGAAUUCCGAGUGUAGAGGUGAAAUUCGUAGAUAUUCGGAAGAACACCAGUGGCGAAGGCGACUAACUGGACAAGUACUGACGCUGAGUACGAA
rnacentral:rRNA from 1 species